AUUAAGACGGGGACAGUUGUUAGCCUAUAGUUGAGCGAAGCAGUGGAAGUACAUAUAAACAUGUACUAGUAAACACGGUCGUUAAUAUUCGACCUGACUUUAUUGUCUAUACACACCCCCGAAAUAAUGCUUUGUCCAUAAAUCGGUCAUUUGUUGUUCUGCAAUGUAAAUACAUUCAUGGACGGAAGAUUAUUGCUGAAGGGCGUCAGAAAUAACCUGUUAAGUGUUGUAUUAGUGAUGUCACUCGUGCCUUAUAGAGAUAUUUUUAGCUUAAUUUGAUAUCUAAAUUCUAUUUUUGUAGAACACUGUGAUGUCAACACAGAAAAUAACUUCCAUCAGACUCCCCUUAUUAUCGCUGUAAUCAUGGAUGAUUUUCAGAUGGUCAAGGCAUUAGUUAAAGCAGGUAAUUAUACUCUUGAAUUAAUCCUAGUAUUCUGAUUGCAUUCUUUUCUUUUUUUUUAAAUCAAAACGUGUCUGAUUUUUUUAUAUAUUAAAAAAUUACUAUUGCAGGUGCAGAUGUUAACAGAACAGACUCAACAGGAAAAACAGCUCUUUUAAUAUCUCUUCAGGAAUCGAGAUCGGACAUCGCCCUCUAUCUAAUAAAACACGGAAGCAACGUCAAUGUUGUUGACCGUUUGGGUCAGAGCGCCUUAUACAUUAUCAUCGAAAGCAUGGACCUCAAAUGUGUUAAAACUGUGAAAAAAUUGUUAAAAGCAGGUAUAAAUUGCUACUAUUAUGUUAGAUUUAGAAAAUAAAUAAAUUUCUUUUUAAAAGAUUAAUUAUUCUUUUGUAAACUCAUCUUUUAAGAUCUCAAUUAUAUUGUUGUCAAUGUCUGUUUUAGGAUAUGACCUACAGAAAGACGCAGCAUGGAUGAAAGAAGAGGGUCUUGAUGUUGAUAUUGUGAAAAGUGGAAACUGGAUGUCGAAACUUGCUAGAAAACUUGCUAGCAAAUUGCACACGCUAAAAUCAAGUCAACAUGCAACCCAGUCACCGAAUACAGGUCUUGCGAUGCCAAAAUCACGUGUCUUAACUAUUUAUCAGUGAAACUAUGUAGGGCCAAUCGACAACGAGAAAUACUGAACCCAUCUUGAAUAUAAAGUAAACUGUCUUUCUUCUUUUCGCUGUUACUAUUUCGAUUCAAAGAAAGGCAGUUUAUUCUUUGUUGAAUCAGUAUGUUUGCUUUUAGUUUGCUAUCAUCAACAAAUUUACAAUUGAUGUACAUUUCAGUUUUUAUGAAUAAUGUCUUCAUGCUUGUCCCUUGUUGUUGUAUUCAUUGAGUUUGCUAUUGUGAAAUCCUGUUUUUAUAUAAUUGUACUUUUGUAUUUUUUUAACUUAAUAUGUCUUAAUUAUGAAUAAAUUCUUCGAAAAUUU
rnacentral:misc_RNA from 1 species